rnacentral:rRNA from 1 species
UUUCGCCUGGGAACUACAGACAUUAGUUUAAAACCCAAAGGACUUGGGGGUCUUAACAUCCACCUAGAGGAGCCUGUUCUAGAACCGAUACUCCCCGAUAAACCUCACCCCUCCUUGUUAUAAUUCCGCCUGUAUACCGCCGUCGUCAGCUUACCCUGUAAAGGACUUGAAGUAAGCAAAAUUGGCAACACCCAAAACGUCAGGUCAAGGUGCAGCGUAUGGAGAGGAAAGAAAUGGGCUACAUUUACUAAUCAAUAGUAAACACGGAUGAUAACUUGAAACAAUUAUCUAAAGGAGGAUUUAGAAGUAAGUUAAAAACAGAGCGUCUAACUGAAACUCGGCCCUUAAGCGCGCACACACCGCCCGAACA